UACGGAGGGUGCAAGCGUUAUCCGGAUUUACUGGGUUUAAAGGGUGCGUAGGUGGGCAGGUAAGUCAGUGGUGAAAUCUCCGGGCUUAACCCGGAAACUGCCAUUGAUACUAUCUGUCUUGAAUAUCCUGGAGGUAAGCGGAAUAUGUCAUGUAGCGGUGAAAUGCUUAGAUAUGACAUAGAACACCAAUUGCGAAGGCAGCUUACUACGGGAUUAUUGACACUGAGGCACGAAAGCGUGGGGAUCAAACAGG
rnacentral:rRNA from 1 species